rnacentral:rRNA from 1 species
UGGGGAAUCUUGGACAAUGGGCGCAAGCCUGAUCCAGCGACGCCGCGUGGGUGAUGAAGGCCUUCGGGUUGUAAAGCCCUUUCGCCGGGGACGAUGAUGACGGUACCCGGAGAAGAAGCACCGGCUAACUCCGUGCCAGCAGCCGCGGUAAGACGGAGGGUGCUAGCGUUGUUCGGAAUCACUGGGCGUAAAGGGCGCGUAGGCGGCCAGGGCAGUCGGAUGUGAAAGCCCGGGGCUCAACCCCGGAACUGCAUUCGAUACUCUCUGGCUCGAGGUCGGAAGAGGAGGGUGGAAUACCCAGUGUAGAGGUGAAAUUCGUAGAUAUUGGGUGGAACACCGGUGGCGAAAGCGGCUCUCUGGUCCGGACCUGACGCUGAGGCGCGAAAGCGUGGGGAGCAAACAGGAUUAGAUACCCGCGUAGUCC